UUUGAACAAGUGCUAUCUGCAGAGGAGGUAAAAAAUAACUCACGGUGUUAUUUUAUGCAUGGUGGAUUGUUAGUCCGGAAGUGGGUGCCCCACGGGGACAGGUUCAUUGGAGACCCCAUCAUUCAGAUUGUGUUGCCUCGUAAGUAUCGUGAGUCUGUGCUGAAGCUGGCCCACGAUGAUGCUGGGCACUGGGGUGUCCGGAAAACCUACGACCGGUUGCUGCGGCAUUUCUUUUGGCCGCGUGUGAAAAAGGAUGUUGCCGCUUAUAUUAAAACUUGUCACACCUGCCAACUCACUGGUAAGCCCAACCAGGGUAUAGCACCUGCUCCUCUGUUUCCAAUUCCAGCUGUAGCGCAGCCUUUUGAACAUGUAAAAAUUGAUUGUGUGGGUCCACUCCCUCGCUCUCGUCCUGGCGCAGUUUACCUUCUCACAGUGAGGUGUCAGUCCACCAGAUACCCAGCUGCUUACCCGCUGCACACGAUUUCUGCUCCUCACUCUGCGGCAGCAGAGGUCGAGGAUGGGUUGCCUGGGCUUGAUUCUGACAGAAGUUGUUGCAGAAAUUUUUCUGAAGUGGUAGCGCCACUUACUGAUUUGCUGAAGGGUAAAGUAACUUUUGUGUUGUCCCCUGUUUGCCAACAGGCUUUUGAGCAUGUAAAAGCGCUUUUGACUAAUGCUCCAGUUUUGGCGGCCCCGCGGUUUGACCGUCCGUUCUCACUCCAAGUGGACGCUAGUCACGUGGGAGCGGGCGCAGUCCUCUUGCAAGCUGACGAUCUUGGUUUUGAGAAACCCGUGAGCUUCUUUUCAAAGAGAUCCAACUCCUACCAGUUAAACUAUUCCACGGUAGAGAAAGAAGCGCUUGCACUCAUUUGGGCCCUGAAACAUUUUGAUGUCUAUGUGGGAUGUGGUGUUGUACUUGUUGUUUACACCAACCACAAUCCCUUAACCUUCCUUAAUUCUCUGCAAUGUCCAAACCAGAGUUUAAGAAGAUGGUCUUUACUCCUGCAGUCCUACUGGCUAGACAUUAAGUUCAUCAAGGGUUCUGACAACGUGGUGGCAGACGCGCUGUCCAGAGCUCCUCAGUAGGACUGUAAUAACUGUGUAGCAAC
rnacentral:lncRNA from 1 species